rnacentral:lncRNA from 1 species
GUCUCAGCAAUAAGUGCAGGCCCAGGAAGAGUAAUGUUUUUAUACUUUGAGAUUAUUUCUUAUGCUGUAAUCGAGAGAUCUGGAAGAGAGGUGGCAAGUAUUAACUUGUCUUUUCUGAUUCUCUCACCAAUUAAACGAAGAUUCCCUGAGAUGAAAGAACAGUCAGAGGGAGAGAAAAGUAGCUUAGCAAGUGACAGUUCCUUAGAAGGGGCCCUCAAUCCCUAGAGAGGGUCUUGGGACAAAUGACAUGGUAACAACUGCAGAUGAGCACAGAAGGAGAGGGACGACUCAGUGCUGUCUUCUCCUGUAUCCAUGGCAGGGACAAGACUAAUGCCAGAGAAGCCAAGUACCGAUGUCCUUAUGGACCAUCUGGGAAGUGUGUCUAUCCACAGAAUGCUUCAGCAGCCCUGCAUGGUGGCGGCAUUGGUUAGAUGCUUUCCCUGAGUGGCUAAAGGAAAAGUGGAUAAGCAGGUUAGUCUUUGUGGAUUGAGCAUCCAAGACAAAGUAUUAACUUGUGUUUGAUGAAGGCAACUCAGAAGCUCUCUGUGUAGAGGAAGGGCAAGAGACUGGAUGUCUGCAGGCUGACCUCACAGCAGUACGAUCACGCGUGGACGCUUAAACAAGAUCAUAGGGAAGACAAAAAAGCCAUAAGAAAAUGGAGGAACACGUCAUACUCCGGAACAGAGGCUUGAAACAGAACCUGACCUACAGAACCUGCCAUUUUCUUUUGUAAAUAACGCAGUACUUACUAUUUAUUGUAAGGCAAAAAAUAUUCUUCUACAAUAUUAUUUUCAUUGCUAUUUCAUAGCCCACCUUGUGUCCUAGCUUGAUGAUGUAAAGACUGCACAGCUCUCCUUUCAAACGGAAAGCACGAUCCACCGGAAUGAGUUUGAUUAUAAAAUCCUCAGUUUUAAAAACUAAUCUAUGUGUAGGAAAGAGUCUUUGACUAAGCAGAUCUCAAACAACUACGGUAGUCAAGAAUCUGGUGACCAGAGUUGGCAAAACCAAGUUAACGGCUUUUCCAGGUGACCCAUAAAGAAACUGGUGGCUGGUCAUCUUGGCUGCUCAUGCCAAUGCGACACCAAAUCGGCUUCUUGCAAGGAAUGCUCCAGGAAUGGAGACCAAUUGUUCAAAGAGCCUCCCUGGUGAAUAUCUUAAGUAACAGCCAAGUCUUGUCUGUCUGCUCAUACCUGGUUCUGUGUUCACUGAGCCUGGAACUGAGGGGCGGCUCGCCAGCUGGAGUUGGGCUCCUCACCCUUCAAGCACAAAGUAGGAAGUGGGUGUAUUUAUUAAUCCUUCUGUGCUGUGGUGAAAUGCCUGACAAAGCAGCUUAAGGAAGGAGGAGUUUGUUUUGGCUGCCAACGUUCGAAUACAGUUCAUCCUGGUGGGAAGCCUGGUAGCAGGGCCUUUGCAUUGUUAGACAUGUUACAUCCACAGCCAGGAAGCAGAGAGAGACAGACGUUGGUGCUCAGCUCAAUCUCUCCUUUAUAUUGAGUCCAUGAGCCCAGCUAAUAGGAUGUUGCUGCCCACAUUCAGAGUCAGCCUUCCCUGGGAGCAUCCUCACAGGCUCAUCCAGCAGUGUCUCCAGUCAGGGUGCCAACGAAGAUUAACUAAGGCUUGCUCUAAAAGGCUUGGUGAUGGGCCUGGAGAGAUGACUCAGCAGUUAAGAGCACCUGCUGCUCUUGCAGAGGACUGGGGUUCAGGUCACAGCACUCACAACCCAUGGCUAACUACUGAUGCUCUAUUGUGACCUUCCUAGACACAACACAUGAGGGUGCACAGGCACGCACGCACACGCACUCACAAGCACACACACACACACACAAAUAAACUAAAAAGUUAAUUUUUUAAAAGCAUGGGAUGGCUGUUAUGGACUCCUGUGGCUAGGAAAAAGACUCCCCUUGGGACAGGUACAGAGACUCAGAGUCUAGAUGGCUGGUCUUAACAUUGGUGAUGAUUACCCUUCCAGCCCUGGACACCACAGGAAGUCUCAGAAUUAUCGAUUGCCUGCCAGUUCGCCCAGGGUACUGGCUGUAUGUGCUCCCUCAUCUUUGGGGGCCU